GUCCUAGCCGUAAACGAUGUGCACUAGGUGUCGGGUCCUUUGGGCUCGGUGCCGCAGUUAACACAUUAAGUGCACCACCUGGGGGAGUACGGUCGCAAGACUGAAACUCAAAGGAAUUGACGGGGACCCGCACAAGCGGUGGAGCAUGUGGUUUAAUACGACGCUACGCGUGAAACCUUACCCAGGCUUGACAUGUAUAUGCAAGCCCGAUGAAAGUCGGGGCCUCUCCUAAAGAGACAUUUACACAGGUGUUGCAUGGCUGUCGU
rnacentral:rRNA from 1 species